CAACCUUAUCUCCCCCAGUACUCUCUCCUCUCCUCUCCACUCACUCAACCUCUCUCGCCCCUCUCCCGGUCUCCCCUCCCCCGCCGCAUCCGCUGCGCGUGACCACAAGCUCCUGCCGCAACCGCGCGACUCUGCCGGCCGACCACCGCAUCCGUCGCAUGCAUCGGCGGUUGCCGCACAACGAAGGUCACGGCUGGUCCCGCGACGGCCUCGGUUGGAGGAGGACGAUAGGUCCAUAGCGACGGACGCUCAAGUAAGAGGAGCGGCCCAAUGGCGGCGGCCUCGAGCACAGGGAUAAGUGCAGGCUGGGGAUGCAGGAGAGGUGCAGCGCGGGGUUUGGAGCUCCCAUGAGCUGGGUGUGGCGCAUCCGACGGCGACAGACACAGGGACGCGUUGAUCCGGGUGUGGGUGCUCAAUUCGGUCCCGUUCUGGCCGGAUCCGUGGCGGUGCUCAUCUCCGGCGAGGUGGCCUGUGACUCGCGGGACGACGGCGGCGCAAGACCACAGGAGGGGCUCAUCUCAUGGGACAGGGGCGCGAGGUCUUGUUGGCUUCGGUUGCCGGUGGCUUGAUGAAGGGGUGGCCGGGGUCCGGCGCCAUGGAGGCUCUUCGAGGACGAGGAAGCAGACAGCGACGACAACUUUGAGGCCGGCGGGGGCGCCGUCUCCGCGUUCGAUGGUCAGGGUCCAACGCGGCCGCCGUUGGCUCCAUCCCCUACAGUUAUCAUGCGGAUAAGAGAACCAAAAACUACCACAUUGAUAUCUGCUUCAGGAAAAAUGGUUUGCACUGGAGCAAAAAGUGAACAGCAAUGUAAACUCGCAGCUAGAAAGGUCAAAUAUUUGACGAUGUUUUCUUCUCCCAACCUGGCAAGGAGUAAGAAGUCAGUUGGAGUGAGAAGUGAAACAAGUACCAUGAGCUCAAGUGAAUCAUUCACCAAGCUGGUAAACGCAUAAACUUCAAAAAAAUCAUCUCAAUAAGGUAUGCAAGUAAUUUAUUUUGGGUGUUUGAAUUGCCACAUUUUGGGUUUUGUUUUCUGUCCAUUAUAUAUUCUAGGGACAAACUUCAUCUCAUUUCUUAGACCAAAUAAUAUUUAACUACAGGAUCAGAUUCGCGUAAAGUAAUUUGCAAUGUUUAUUCGAUUUUGUGCAUGACAAGGGGCAAGUAGAAUUUUUUCUGUAUGCACUUAGCAAGAUUAAAAUAACAGGCACAAAGUGAAUCAAGUGUGUUCAACACACAAUUUAAAAGUGAAAGUAGAUACACAGCUUACUGAUCCACAUAGAAGAGUGCCGAGUAUUGAGAUUUGAUUUGCCGCAUUGCAAUGGUCCGCUAUGGUCCUGCAGUAAUAUGUGUAUGACAGCAAAAGGAUCUUCAAAUCAGUAUGUACACUUAACUUAUCCAUUAUAAUUCGAUAUAUUAUAUGAGAUAACUUGAACAUCUUUAGAAACUAGUGUGAAAAAAAUAUAGCAGCCAAAUCGCAUUACAAUACUAUUACGUGUGGAUUUUCAUAUGCACGUUCCCAGACGCUACAAACUUGAUCAGAGCCGAAAGCAAGGAAAUGCACAUCAUAGUUGCAAUGACGCUAGGAGAAGCCUCUCCACAUCUGCAUGUUGAGAGACUUGAGCUAUUAAUUUUGCAGGCACUCCACACAAGCACAUGCAUGUUAAGUGAGGGUAUACGUUAUCAUUUUGGGUAUGAUCGAAUGGAAAUACCUGUUCAUGUCAUCCUCUGAUUCACUGAUCCAAAUCAUCCUGCAAAGCUCAUGCAUAAUGGUUUAGGAAAUAAGGUAUAGAUGCUCAAAGGACAAGAUUGAUAGCUAACAAAUAGUUGAUGCUUACAAUUAGCCUGUGGUCUCCUCCUCCAACAUGUGUUUCCUGUUUGAGCGUUGUGAAAGGUCAGGAGGUCCAGGCAGGUCAAGGCGAUGGCAACCUUUGACUUUGGAAAUGCAAACCCCCUCUCGGUGGCCCUCUCCACAACAUCAUCCAACAUAUUGACGUUUAGCUGACAGAAAGGAACUAUACACAUUUAGCUAGGAAAUCUAGGAACAAGAAAAUAGACCGGUCGGCAUGUAUGAUUAAGGAUAAAGAAUGCACUAACUUUCAAACUGUUUUGAUGCCUGACCACAUAUAUUGUCAACAUGGAAAUUCUGGUUUCUGAAAUCAGUUUCCUUGCUGAGUAGAACACCUAUUAUGAAAUUUGUUUGUUCUAGAGCCGAGUGCAGACAUCACUUUUGUUAACCGUGAUGCUAUAAUACUCGGGAAAAUUGUGUUAUUAGGAAAUUGGUCAAGGCAUAUAGCUCCAUCUAUGCUCCCAUAGACAUAAGAUGAUGAGACUAUUAUAAACAAAUUCAUCUUGUUUUCUGCAGUUCUGAAAUCUGUAAUGCAAUGUUUCACUUGUUUGGUCCUCUCUUUUUCAUACGAUGUUCUUGGUUUGUGUCUUCGACAAUGCAUAGACAGUAAACUGCAUGCAUUACAACCUUAGAUUAGUAAGUUGUAACUUUUGCAGCCAAUAAAAAUAUAGGUAAUUAACGCAAUCAACCUUAGAUUAGAUGUUUUGUAUGUGUCAUCAAUGCACGCACUCACUGGAUUAUUACUUAUUUUGGCCUACAAACUGUUGUUUAAAUGUUUAUCAUGCAUCCAUCUUCCAUUAUAAUUCUGGCAAUCCUUUGCUCCCUUCAUUUUAACUAAACCUUUUCUUCAGAUCUGUGAAAGCCAUAUAAUUUGCAUGCUCCAAUUUUAAUUUUAACUAUAAUGGAACAGGUUACUUUUCUGGUUUCAUUUUAACUAUCAUGGAACAAGUUACUUUUCUGGUUUAGUGUAUCUUUUUGCUUCUACCUUGAACUAAGCGCAAUUGCUUUAUUAUAAACAAUUGAUCCAAAAUGCAUAGUGCAUCUUAUUGUUCGGCGAAAAACUUUCCUGGUCGACACUAUAGCUAAACCAUCUUUUCACAAAAUCCUGCUAUUCUCUCUGUACAUUUGCUUCACUUAUUUUGUUGUCUUAGUUUGAUAAUUCGGUUAUGGUUGAAAAAUGUAAAAAGAUUAGUGUCCUGUUUAUUGUGUUUCCGUGUGAACUUGUUCUGAACAGCACGUGCUGAACCUUAUGGUUUGCAGUUUUGUCAGAGAUAUGUUUUGCUAGGCUGGAGGCUUGUGAGAUCUUCAGAUUAUCCUAAUUGCUUCUACAUAGAAGGUGCAGCCGUCGCAUGGUUCCAAAUGUCUCAUUGAUCCAAAAUGCAUAGUGCAUCUAUUUGCUUUCCUGGUUGACACUAUAGCUAAACCAUUGCUUCACGAAAUCAUGCUAUGCUCUCUGUACGUUUGCUUCACUUAUUAUGUUUGGUCAAUUUGUUAUUUCGGUUAUGGUUGAAAAAUGCAAAAAGAUUAGCUGUUUUACUUAUUCUGAACCUUACGUGCUGUUGUUUUACUUUGCAGUUUUGGUUGGCUGAUAGCUUGCAAGAUCUUCAUAUUCUACAUAGAAGGUGCAGUGUGAUGUGAUGCAUAUGGAACUGGUAUUACUUUGCAGUAUGGAACUGGCGGUGGGUGUAUGAAAUGUGAUGGCUGUAACAUUAUACCUAAUUUCUUAUCAGUUCAUGAUAUGGCUGUUUGAAAUGUGAUACCUGGAUGUGAGUGUCUCUGGCGCGGGAUCCUGGACGCCUCCGGCGGCGGCUGGUGAAAGGGAUAGACGGAUCCUGGACAUCUUCGGCGACGGGUCCUGAAAGGGAUCGGCGCCGGAUCCUGGAAGCGUUCGGCUGAGGGUCCUCAACUGGACAUGCACCGGAUCAGUGGAGGCCGGAUCAGUGGAGACCAGCGGCGGAUCAGUGCCAGGGCGGCGGCGAAGGGAUGGAGCGGCGGCGGUGAAGGGAUGAAGAGCGGCGGCGGGCGAAUGAGGGCACAGACUCGGUCGUCUGUUUCUCGCUCGAGGGCACGAGACCUCGCUCGUACGUGCGGGGGAUUGAUGGGUGUGAAGGGAGGUUAGGCGCGUGGGGGCGGAUGUGGGACUCGGCCCUGAGGGUUUUUCUUGGUUCAUCGCGGCUGAGCGGGAGGUGGGAGCAGGUACCAAAAAAACCGGGUGAGGUGGGACGAAAGUUAAACCCGGAAUGCGACCUACCAACUGAGAUAUUAGGAGUAGAGAUUGCGCUGUCCUUUCCAAUUACUUCUGUUGUCUUACUCUUAUCAUUAAACCCCCACUACACCUAAAUUCUCGGGCUUGUGAUGAUUGAACUCUUUUUAAGGGGUGGUGCACACUACACAGACUGAUUCCUUCUAUAGCAUUUUUGUUAGACAAAUUCUUUAUAAAGCAAAUGGUCUACACACUUUUUUUGUGGUUGAGAAAAUGGUGUACACAAUUUUUUUGAGAGUUUGGUAUACACACUAAUACAUCGCUCUCCGUGGGAUGGGCCCGGCUCCUCGCUUGCUCAAUUACUUCAUGGGCCAGCGCCCAGCCUGCCCUGUCCCUUCCUUUCCAAUUCGGGAGCUCUUCGCCCACUGCGCCAAGAUGCCCCUGUAGCGCUUGCUAGAUAGCUCGUGGGCCACGGCCCAGCCUGUGCCCUCGCUCGGCCGCCUUCCCGGGCGUGCCUAUGCCUCUAUUUAAAAAAAAAGCUAGAAGCGAGAGCAACUAAUAAGUGUACCCCUUGCAGGAGCCUCGCAAUGGUCACUUUUGGUGGUAAGAGCAUGUCAUUUGGCGUGCUCUCAGCCACCGUCACGUGUCGCGUGUUGGGCUCUCCAUCGGAAUGGUUUUUUCUUUGUUUUCAUAUGCAUUUUUGGGGUUUAGAUGAUUUUUUCCGUGUUCUUUCGUAUUUUGGUUUUUCCUAGAUUUUGAAGAAAAAAAUUGAUUCUUUUUUGCUUGAAAUAAACGUGUUUUCUUUUGCUUCCACGAGCGGCAUAGUUGUGUUUCUUUGAAAAGAAAAGACACAUGUAUUUUUUUGCUUCCACGGGAGGCACAGAGUUGCUUCGUGUGAAGAUACAGAUUUGCAUCCGCAAGAGGCUGAAAGCGCAACCAAUCCCCGGAUGGUUUUGGUAAUUCAUAACAAUAUAUAUCUCAUUGAACUAAUAUCCAUUCAAGAUAAAUAUUUCAGGAUGUUCAA